rnacentral:pre_miRNA from 1 species
UUUUUAGUAUAAGUAUGUCUAAUGUAAUAUUGGAGACAUACUUAUACUAAAA